UACGAAGGGGGCUAGCGUUGCUCGGAAUCACUGGGCGUAAAGCGCACGUAGGCGGACUCUUAAGUCGGUGGUGAAAUCCUGGAGCUCAACUCCAGAACUGCCUUCGAUACUGGAAGCUCGAGUCCGGGAGAGGUGAGUGGAACUGCGAGUGUAGAGGUGAAAUUCGUAGAUAUUCGCAAGAACACCAGUGGCGAAGGCGGCUCACUGGCCCGGUACUGACGCUGAGGUGCGAAAGCGUGGGGAGCAAACAGG
rnacentral:rRNA from 1 species